GGUAUUUCUGUCCCCAGGGCUCAGCUCUUCCAACUGCUUGUCCAGCAGGAUCCUACAACCCUUCACUGAGCCAAACCAGCUGCCUGCCCUGUCCUGAAGGGUUCUUCUGCCCUAAGAAUUCCUCUUCCAUUCUGGAGAAUGAGUGUCCCCCUGGCCACUACUGCCCUGCAGGCACUGCCUCUGCAGCUCAGUUCCCGUGUCCUAAAGGGACUUACAACCCCUGGUCUGGCAGCAGCCUGAGGUCCCACUGCAGCCCCUGUGAGCCAGGUGAGGCUCAGGAGCCUCAGAGUGUGUUUUAUUCCCUGAAAUGUCUCCUCUGGUGCAAAGCAGGUCGGGGGAAACACUGCUGGGAGGUGCUUUUCACAAGAGUUUUGUGUCUCCCUGAUUUCCCACUCCCAGCCCCCUUCUUCCCCAUUCCAGCCCUGUUUUUUCCCCAUUUUUUCCCAGUUUUUCACCUCUCCCAGCCCCUUUUUAUCCCCAUUUUUCCCAAUCCCAUCCCAUUCCAGCCCCAUUUUCCCAAAUUUCCCCCACUCAGACCCAAUUUCCCCACAUUUUCCUCCUCCCAGCCCCUUUCUCUCCCAUCUCCCCAAUCCCAUCCCCAUUUCCAUCAUUUAUCCCUGUUUUACCCCAUUUUUCCCAGUUUUUUAACUCCUCCCAGCCCCUUUUUAUCCCAUUUAUCCUCAUCCCAUCCCAUUUCUCCCCAUUCCAGCCCCAUUUGCUCAAUUUUUCCCCCACUCUCACCCAUUUUUUCCCACACUUCCCCUCACCCAGACCCUUUUUCUCCCAUUUAUCCCAAUCCCAUCCCAUUUUCCCCCAUUCCAACUCCGUUUUUCCCAUCCCAGCCCGGUGCUGAUGGCCUGGUUUGCUCUCUCAGGGCACUUCUGUGCACUCCCUGGGCAGUCCCAGGUGACAGGACCCUGCCUGGCCGGGUUUUACUGCACGGGAGGAGCUGCCAGUCCAUCCCCCAGGGAUGCUGAGGUGGGGAAUGUGUGUCCCCAGGGAUUCUACUGCCCUCUGGGCUCUGCCUCCCCCCUGCCCUGCCCUCCUGGCCAGUACAGCAGCUCAACUGGGAACACUGGGAUUCAGGACUGCCUCCUGUGCGAUGCAGGUUAUUUCUGCAAUGGGACUGGACUUGUGUCUCCCACUGGGGUGUGUGAGGCUGGGUUCUACUGCAGUGGAGGAAGCCUUUCCCCCAGACCUCCCAGGCCAACUGCCAGUGGAGGUCCCUGUCCCCCUGGGCAUUUCUGUGAGGAGGGGAGCAGCAGAGCGCAGCCGUGCCCUGCAGGGACCUACAGCCCAUCCUGGAGUGGGACACGGUGCCUGCAGUGCCCAGAGGGCUUUUACUGCACCUCUGCCUCCACCAACUACACGGAUUGUCCUCAAGGUCACUACUGCCCCAGCAGCACAGAAUUUGCCACGCAGCAUCCUUGUCCCCCUGGCACCUACAGCGAAGCCCUGAACCUCUGGGAUGCUUCCAAGUGCCAGCUGUGUCCUCCUGGAAGGGUUUGUUCCAGGCCAGGCCUGGCGAGGCCAGAUGGGCUCUGCACGCCUGGCUGGUUUUGUCCACCUGGAUCCACAUCAAGCACACCAAUGUUUCCUGGAAAUUUCUCUGGAAAGGCAGCUCCAGCCCCAGGACCUGUUGGGUUGUGCCAAGCAGGAACUUUUUGUCCUGCUGGGUCACCCCUUCCCCUUCCCUGCCCUCCAG
ensembl:lncRNA